rnacentral:tRNA from 1 species
GGUAAGGUGGCUGAGUUUAGGCUGUAAAUUGUAAAUUUAUAUAGGAUAUUAAAUUAUCUCUUACCA